UAGUAACUGCGAGUGAAGCGGGAAAAGCUCAAAUUUAAAAUCUGGUGGUCUUUGGCCGUCCGAGUUGUAGUCUGGAGAAGUGCUUUCCGCGCUGGACCGUGUACAAGUCUCUUGGAACAGAGCGUCAUAGAGGGUGAGAAUCCCGUCUUUGACACGGACUACCAGUGCUUUGUGAUGCGCUCUCAAAGAGUCGAGUUGUUUGGGAAUGCAGCUCAAAAUGGGUGGUGAAUUCCAUCUAAAGCUAAAUAUUGGCGAGAGACCGAUAGCGAACAAGUACCGUGAGGGAAAGAUGAAAAGCACUUUGGAAAGAGAGUUAAACAGUACGUGAAAUUGCUGAAAGGGAAACGCUUGAAGUCAGUCACGUUGGCCAGAACUCAGCCUUGCUUUUUUGCUUGGUGCACUUUCUGGUUUGACGGGUCAGCAUCAGUUUUGAUCGUCGGAAAAAGGCUGGAGGAAUGUGGCACCUUCGGGUGUGUUAUAGCCUCCAGUCACAUACGACGGUUGGGACUGAGGAUCUCAGCACGCCUUUAUGGCCGGGGUUCGCCCACGUUCGUGCUUAGGAUGCUGGCAUAAUGGCUUUAAGCGACCCGUCUUGAAACACGGACCAAGGAGUCUAACAUACCUGCGAGUGUUUGGGUGGAAAACCCGAGCGCGUAAUGAAAGUGAAAGUUGAGAUCCCUGUCGUGGGGAGCAUCGACGCCCGGACCUGACGUUCUCUGACGGCUCCGCGGUAGAGCAUGUAUGCUGGGACCCGAAAGAUGGUGAACUAUGCCUGAAUAGGGUGAAGCCAGAGGAAACUCUGGUGGAGGCUCGUAGCGAUUCUGACGUGCAAAUCGAUCGUCAAAUUUGGGUAUAGGGGCGAAAGACUAAUCGAACCAUC
rnacentral:rRNA from 1 species